GGAUUGUGGCUCAGUGGUAGAGUGCUUGCCUCAUGCUUGAGACACUGAGUUUGAUCCUCAGCACCA
rnacentral:tRNA from 1 species